AUUGAACGCUGGCGGCAGGCCUAACACAUGCAAGUCGAGCGGAGCGGCGGACGGGUGAGUAAUGCCUAGGAAUCUGCCUGGUAGUGGGGGAUAACGUCCGGAAACGGGCGCUAAUACCGCAUACUAUCAGAUGAGCCUAGGUCGGAUUAGCUAGUUGGGGGGGUAAAGGCCUACGAAGGCGACGAUCCGUAACUGGUCUGAGAGGAUGAUCAGUCAUCCGGGACCGAGGGCACGGUCCAGAUUCCGACGGGAGGCAGCAGUGGGGAAUAUUGGACAAGGGGCGAAAGCCUGAUCCAGCCAUGCCGAGUGUGUGAAGAAGGUCUUCGGAUUGUAAAGCACUUUAAGUUGGGAGGCGUUACCAACAGAGUAAGCACCGGCUAACUUCGUGCCAGCAGCCGCGGUAAUAC
rnacentral:rRNA from 1 species